rnacentral:rRNA from 1 species
UACAGAGGUCUCAAGCGUUGUUCGGAUUCAUUGGGCGUAAAGGGUGCGUAGGCGGCGCGGUAAGUCGGGUGUGAAAUCUCGGAGCUUAACUCCGAAACUGCAUUCGAUACUGCUGUGCUUGAGGACUGGAGAGGAGACUGGAAUUUACGGUGUAGCGGUGAAAUGCGUAGAUAUCGUAAGGAAGGCCAGUGGCGAAGGCGGGUCUCUGGACAGUUCCUGACGCUGAGGCACGAAGGUCAGGGGAGCAAACGGG